rnacentral:rRNA from 1 species
UACGAAGGGUGCAAGCGUUACUCGGAAUUACUGGGCGUAAAGCGUGCGCAGGCGGUUAUGCAAGACAGAGGUGAAAUCCCCGGGCUCAACCUGGGAACUGCCUUUGUGACUGCAUAGCUAGAGUACGGUAGAGGGGGAUGGAAUUCCGCGUGUAGCAGUGAAAUGCGUAGAUAUGCGGAGGAACACCGAUGGCGAAGGCAAUCCCCUGGACCUGUACUGACGCUCAUGCACGAAAGCGUGGGGAGCAAACAGG